UUGUUAAAAACAAUUUACACGGAAGAGCGUAUCAUCCAUACAAAUUUAGAAAGUUGCAAUAUACAGUAAGCCCAUUAUCCUUUGUUCAAAUCUGGACACAAGGUCUAAUAAAUAUAAGAAUUUUUAACUCCGAGAAUUUAACCGUUAGAUGGAAAGUUCCAUGGAGUAACCCGGAGUCAACAAACAACAAAUCCAACCCGUCCUUAUUAUGUAUCUAUGCCCAGAGAUAGGAGUAGUGGGACUAUUCUGUCGGCAGAGAAGGCAUAAUCAGCGUCCAUUUUUUGCCCAGAGAUAUGCUUCAGUCUUGAUGAAGGAGUAAAAGAGGUGAGUCGACAAGUAUCACCAGCAGGCGGAUAUCUUCAUCUAUGAUUCAAGGAUUAACUUUGGUAGAUCCUAUAGUUUGUAUAAAAUAUCUAAUGUAAAAUAAAUGUGUUUGCAAACGUUGCAUAUAGAUCCAAUCUGGCUUGUUUAUAUUGAGUUUCUUUAUUUAGAGUUUCUUUUUUAAUUCUCAUUCAAAGUUUAUAUUUUGACAUGCUAAACUCUUCAAGUACGUCUGAAAUGUUCAUUUUAGCUAGAUUGUUUUGAUUAAUACCACAGCUAGAUCCUAUUGUGUAUCGAUUUACCACUAAUCAAUAAACAAAGACGACAAAAAGUGUAUUCUGUCAGAAAACCAUCAGCGGUAUUUGGGAUUUAAAUAAACAAAUUGUUUUGUGUUUGCAGACAGUAAAUUUCACACUUUCCCGUUCAUUGUGCAAAUUUUCAGUGACUGAAAAGGUAAUAAAAAAUAUAAACAAUAAUUUGUUCUCCCAAAUCUUACAAUAAGUAAUAAUGUAUUACAACCCCGACAAAGUAAGUUUAAGGGGUUGUUUUUGCAGUUUUAGUAAGGACAAAUUAAACAACCUGAGAAUCAUGAAUGCAAACUAUAAAUGAUUCUUUGUUGUUUAGAAUGAGUUCAACGGAGACCCAGAAAUCAAGGAGGCAACAGAGGCCAGGUAUCCGCCCUGGUUUAGGCGUUAAGCAAGUGUCAAAAGCCCUGGUUAACCCUACCAAUUUAAUUGCGACAGAGUCAAUAAAGAGGAAAGCAGCCCUAACCUUGGAAGAAGUACAAAUCAAGAAAAAGUUUAAUAAGACCAUGCAGUCAAAAUAUCAGGGUGAAGCCCAAAUCCUAGAAGCACAGCAAACUCCAGUGUUGCAGUUACAGAAAGAAAAUAUUAAAACUGAGCAAUUAAAGAAAUCAAAGAUUGAAACUAACCACCUGGAACCAACAGAGGAGACCAGCAUGUUCACAUUUGGUCCAGAUGGUGCUGUUAAUAUCAGUCAUACAGAUUCCUGCCAAAACUGCAUAUGGAGUACAUGUCUCUGUACCCCUCAACCCUGCUGCUACAAUCAAUAUCCAACCAGUCAACGAUGGAAACCUGAAUGGAGCAGUUUCAGGCAUAUACAGACACAAGACACAACAGAAGGAUAAGUGUCUAACAAUUUUGAAUUGUAACUUAUCAGAGAAUUGCAUUGUUUUAAUGCCAGGGGAAGUUAUUGCACAUGGGUCAAUGUGCUUUGUCGAAAAAACAGAGAAAGCUGUAAUUAUUAACUCGGUCACACCUGGAAUUAAAAGUAGAAUGGUCACAGAUAAACUGUGGGCCCAUUAAAAGCUAGAAAAUAAUUUUAUUCUCAAACAAGUUCCAGAAAUUAGUAAAAAUUUGUACUCAAUGUUGAAUGAAUACCAAGAUGUUUUUACCAAUGACAGUUGUCAUGAGGGCAAAACAUCCUGGGAGACAUUCAAAAAUUGAGCUCCUGCCUUCUUCGAGACUGGUAAAACAGAGAGUGAGACCAUUAGCAUCCCCCUCCGUGAUAAGUUAAAAAAAGAAACUAUUGAAAUGGCUUCAUGAUGAAGUAAUUGAACCUUCUAAAUCUCCUUGGUCAUCACCUUUGGUGCCGGUCACAAAAAAGUCAGGUGCUGUAAGAUGGUGUGUAGAUUUCCGCCCAGUCAAUAAGGUCAUGGUGACCGACUCCUACCCCACCCCAUGUAUCAGCGAUAUAUUAGAAUUGCUUGGUUCGUCAAAGAUUUUUUCGACAUUAGACACAGCUAACACGUACAACAUAAUUUCAGUAGAAAAAAAGUCCCGUCCUUUAACUGCAUUUGCAACAGCCUUUGGCAGUUUGCCCUCAUGCCCUUUGGUUAAAAAAUGCAGGUGCAGCAUAUUGUCUCUUAGUACAGGGUUUAGCUGAUAUGUUGGGUGAGGAAGGAGUCCUUGCUUACCUAGAUGAUUUGUUAAUACAUACUAAUCACCCUGAAACUCAUCUUAAAUUGCUUAAAUUAGUUUUUCAGGCACACAGAGAAGCUGGAAUUAAAUUAAGUGCGGAUAAAACAUUUUUGUUUAGGCAGGAAGUCAAAUACUUGGGACAUUUAAUCUCGGAGAAUGGGAUAAAUUAGUGCCAUCUUAUGUAAAUAAAAUUACUUGGCAUUUGGCAGGUGACAAUGGCAUAGAAGGCAGAGGACCCCCUCUUAUAGGAUCCAUACAAGGUAGCGAGACAAACCUGCCUCAUCCUUUCUGCCAAACUUCAGAGACGAUACCCCAACACCCCCAGCCCCACACCUUAGAGGAAGAGCUGGAAAGGAUAAUUGACCUUAUGCGCAGACAAGAUGCUGUUCAUAGAAGACGUCAAUUCAAAUCAUACUCGAAACCAAUUGAUGAUCUAAAGAUAAAUGAUCUAUGUAGCUGUACUUCCCCCCCCCCCAUUGGGAACUUGCGGAAACUCCAACUGAAAUGGAGUGGACCUCUACAAAUCACAGAAAUAAUGAAGCAAGCUAUGGUAAUGAUCAGGGAGAUCAAUGUCCCCAACCCUUGCCAAUAUGAUGCCCACAUCAGCAAACUUCAACUGGCAAAGAAAUUUGGAGAACAAGAUUUGAAUCCAUUUUCCUAUUACCAAGACUACAAAAAGAAAACAUGUUACAGUUGUCCAACGAACUCUCCAAAAUCAAUUUACCGUGUAAGAUUAAUGAUAAAUUAGUUGAUAAAUUCUACGAAGAUAUCAACCAUGGGAGUCAACACCAAGAUAAUGAAUCAUCAAAAGAACCAAUCAGAAGCAACACCGGAAGAAGAGACAGCAAGAAAAGUUUGCAACAAAACAGAUUCAAUCAGAGGCAAAAAUUCAUCUAAUGGACUAAUCAUAAGCAACACUAGAAGUAGUGGCAGCAAGAGCAGCAAACUACCGAGAUGAAAAGCCAAACCUCAGGAGAAGAUCACCAAGAAGAAGAGUCUGAAGAUGAUCAUGAUCUCUAACAAUCGUUCAGGGACUUGGAUCAAUCAAUCAGUCAGUCAAUCAAUCAAUCAAUCAACAGAUCACCAGGACAGAGGAGUAGCAGCAACUCACUGGAGCAAGAUUUCACUAGUCAUUUCAAUGUUUAUGAAAUUGGAGAAGGAGAACUCACGCUAGGGAGGGAAGGCCAAGAAGCCAUGAACCCCGUGGAAAAUCUCCGAACCCUGUGGAAUGGUC